UCUUAAUUGACUUGGUAACGCAGCUAACGCGUGAAGUAGACCGCCUGGGGAGUACGGUCGCAAGAUUAAAACUCAAAGGAAUUGACGGGGACCCGCACAAGCGGUGGAUGAUGUGGAUUAAUUCGAUGCAACGCGAAAAACCUUACCUACCCUUGACAUGUACGGAAUCCUGAAGAGAUUUGGGAGUGCUCGAAAGAGAACCGUAACACAGGUGCUGCAUGGCUGUCGUCAGCUCGUGUCGUGAGAUGUUGGGUUAAGUCCCGCAACGAGCGCAACCCUUGUCAUUAGUUGCUACGAAAGGGCACUCUAAUGAGACUGCCGGUGACAAACCGGAGGAAGGUGGGGAUGACGUCAAGUCCUCAUGGCCCUUAUGGGUAGGGCUUCACACGUCAUACAAUGGUACAUACAGAGGGCCGCCAACCCGCGAGGGGGAGCUAAUCCCAGAAAGUGUAUCGUAGUCCGGAUUGGAGUCUGCAACUCGACUCCAUGAAGUUGGAAUCGCUAGUAAUCGCGGAUCAGCAUGUCGCGGUGAAUACGUUCCCGGGUCUUGUACACACCGCCCGUCACACCAUGGGAGCGGGUUCUGCCAGAAGUAGUUAGCCUAACCGCAAGGGGGGCGAUUACCACGGCAGG
rnacentral:rRNA from 1 species